CAUGCAGUCGAGCGGCAGCACAGAGGAACUUGUUCCUUGGGUGGCGAGCGGCGGACGGGUGAGUAAUGCCUAGGAAAUUGCCCUGAUGUGGGGGAUAACCAUUGGAAACGAUGGCUAAUACCGCAUGAUGCCUACGGGCCAAAGAGGGGGACCUUCGGGCCUCUCGCGUCAGGAUAUGCCUAGGUGGGAUUAGCUAGUUGGUGAGGUAAUGGCUCACCAAGGCGACGAUCCCUAGCUGGUCUGAGAGGAUGAUCAGCCACACUGGAACUGAGACACGGUCCAGACUCCUACGGGAGGCAGCAGUGGGGAAUAUUGCACAAUGGGCGCAAGCCUGAUGCAGCCAUGCCGCGUGUAUGAAGAAGGCCUUCGGGUUGUAAAGUACUUUCAGUCGUGAGGAAGGUGGUGUUGUUAAUAGCAGCAUCAUUUGACGUUAGCGACAGAAGAAGCACCGGCUAACUCCGUGCCAGCAGCCGCGGUA
rnacentral:rRNA from 1 species